CCACUCUUGUUUCUCUUCCAAGUCGUAUAAAUCUUUCGCCUUUUACUAAAGAUUUCCGUGGGGAGGAACAGCAAGAGUACAAGGCAAUUUUUGAUGUCUUGCGUUAAGCGAGGCC